CUGAAGAAGGCUGUGACAGUGACUGCUGCUCUCGGUGGAAGUUUGCAUCUUCCGGUCCCAGUAGGGAGGAACAGUGGGGGCCCUUCUUUAUCUAGAAAUUAAAUUUCUUGCUCUUCUUUGAAUGUCUAAAAGAUGAGGAAAAGAAGCCUCUUCACCCAGGAAAUGAGAAACACAAGGAGAACCUGAAUAAGAAGAAGCCAAGAUUGAGUCCAGGCUGGACCUUGGGGAAAGGCCAUAUAGGUUAUUUCCUGAGAAUUAUUCCCUAAGAACCUUAAUGCUGAGUUCUCUUCAACAUCAUCACCUCUGAACUUGAGACUCAUGAUUUCAACCUUACCUGGUGGUAGGUAAGUAUGUCUUGCUAAUUUUCUUUUUCUUUUUUUUUUUGCAAU
ensembl:lncRNA